UGCUGGGAUUACAGGCAUGAGCCACCGCGCCCGGCCAAGAGACCUUGUCUCUUAAGAAACAAAACAGAAUGAAACAACCUAUGAGGGAUACCUGGUGUCAUAGAAAGUACUGAGCAUGAGGCCUGGUGCAUAGUAAAUGCUCAAAAAAAAUAAAAGCAGUUUUAUCUAGCUUCGUUCUUCAGAGUAACAUGAGACUAGCACUUGAAGAUCCAAGACCAUUCUGAGUCAGUUUUCUUGCAGUAAACUCUUGGGCACCUUGAUUUUUGGCUGUCUUCAGCUUAACCCCUUUCACUUGUAAGUCUCUAAUUAUCUAAAGCGUAUGGUUGUGUUUUCACUUAUGCAGGUAGUUUAUGUACCAUUUAUUGAAAGACCUCUUCCUUUCCUUCUGAACCAUUGUUUUCCUUCUGUUCAGUCUCCAAAUGUACCUUUCUCUCCUCUUUAGCCUUUGACUGACAUUUCUGUGAAGCAUUUUGUGAUGUGCAUUUAGAACACUACGUAAAAAUAAACUGCAUUGUGUUAUUUAAAUAUUUAGAGGCCUUUGUAGCCUUGCAGGCUAUUUUUAAAAUGACCUUUAAAACCAUUUGCAAAGAAGACAAAAGUAAUGGGGGGAAAGCAUAACCUUUUAAUGUUUCCUUCAUUAGUGGCGUUCCCUACCUUGGAUGCAUUGCCUUGCUUUGAUAGUUCAUAAUGUAGGAUACAUCAAAGACCCAAAUAAUGGAGAACAAUGGGGACCAAUUUUUUUAAAGCUGAUUUUGCAUUAUUGCUGCUGCCAUUAGGUGUCAGAUGGAAAAGAUCCCUUUCUUUUAAAUAAGCUGGACUCAUGAUUGAUUUUCUACGUGUGGUAGACCCCCUUGGUAAUGCUGGUGUGUAAAGAAAGACCUGCUAUGCAUUCAUAUGUGAAUUGGGCUUAUCCGGUUUCCUACGACUUUGCUUUUGUACAGCAAGUUUAUUUUUGAGAGGAGAGAGUCAAUCUGCGUUAUAUCUGACUCAAUAAUAACAAGAAACCAAGUUGCAGUAAGAGUCUGCUCUAUUCCUUCCUUCAUUCAGUCAAUCCUCCGUUCACCAUUUCUCCAAAACAUACCAGUCCGUCUUUGACUGUAUUUUGAGGGUCUGGACCCAGAACAGGAAGAGUCAACCUUCCAGAAACUUCUCUGAUAAAGAAAAAUGAGAGACAGAGGUCCAGGGCCACUGUGGAAAGCCAAUGUUUGAAACCCUCAAAAGGCCCGAAACAAGAAGCAGCUUGCAGAGUAGGAUUGGGGGAUCUGCAAGGCCAGAGUGAGGUAGGAAGCAACCCACAAGGAGGGCCAUGAUUGCAUUAAGAGCAUAGUAGGCAAGAAAACACAGGCAGCCAGGAUGUGGUGUUGGGUAGAUAUGGUGCAGGCCAAUUGGACAGACCUGCUUUUAUUGAUUUUAAAAUGGAACCAGGGCUUAAGGAAGAUACUGCCCUCUUGGAUCUUCGAGCAUAGCUAGGGCGUAUGCAUGUGAGAAGUUAAAUAUUAGGACAAAACAGUCCAUGGUGGAUGCCAAACGACUGGACCGCCAAUAAGCGCUGAAGGAGAAGGCCUUCAUGGAAAGCCUUCAAUGCCAGAGACUUUCUUUCCUUGCUUGAUUUGCUUUGCUUUUUUUCUUUCUUUUUUUUAAACAGAGUCUCACCUGUCUUCCAGGCAGGAGUGCAGUGGCAUGAUCAUGGCUCACUGCAACCUCAAACUCCUAGGUUCAAGUGAUCCUCCUGCCUCAAAUUUCUGAGUAGCCAGGACUACAGGCACAUACCAUUCCGUCCAGCUAAUUUUUAAAUUUUUUGUCAAGACAGGGUCUCAGUAUGUUGCCCAGGUUGGUUUCAAACCCCUGGGCUCAAGGAUGAUCUUGCCUCGGCUUCCCAAAGUGCUGGGACUACAGGCGUGAGCCACAGUGCCCAGCCCACUGGAGACUUUCUAUGCUCAAAACGAAUAAUAACGUUCCAACUCCGGGCAACUCAGUAAAUUUUUUUUAAUAAAUUAUGCUAUGUGUUCAUUAGGUUAUAGAUAGAUACUUAUUAUUCUCAUUUUACAGAAUUGGAAACUAAGGUUUGGAGAAAUUCAGAACCAUAUCUGCAGGCUCACAGCUGGUGUGUGAUGAAGCAAGUUUUAAAUCCAGGGCUAUCUGACCCUAGUUAUUUACCACCACAUCACAAAACAAUCUGAAAAACGGAAUGUUUGAAAACCAUGUGUGGUACAUAGAAUAAUGCACCCCUCCCUCAAAGAUGUGUGACCACAACCUAAUUCCUCUCCCAUCUUCCAGAGUGCCCCUACUAUAGUCAUUUUUAUCCUUAUUAGCAGCCAAUGUGAUGCUUUGAAAACAUAACUCAGAUCAAGGAUCUUCUGAUCAAAACUGUCCAAUGACUUCCCAUCAUAUUUAGCAUAAAAUCUCGUCUUUAACGUGGUCCACAAGGCCUUUCAUUAUCUGACCACUUAUCCUCCAACCGUAAUUUCUACCACUCUUCUUUACUUGCUCCUCUAAAAUACCCAGCACACCCUUGCCCCAGGGUCUGUGUACUUGCUGUUUUCUUCUCCCAGAUACGCACAUGGCUCACUGGCUUCGUUCAUGUGUGGCCUCUGCAGAAAGCGCUUUCCUGACCACCAGUCUAAAAUAGCAUCUUUCAUUUUCACCUUACCCUUCACUUAUCACUAACUGACCUUAUAGUCUAUAUUUAUGGGUUUAUUGUCUUUUCUUCCCACGAGAAUGAAAAGUCCGUGAUGUCUGGUCUGUUUUGUCUCUGCUGUGUCUCUAGCUCCUAAAACAGUGACUGACAAAAGGUGAAUGUUCAAAAAAUCACGAAUGAAUGAAUUUUUACAAAUGUUUAAUGUUUGAUGUGAAUUACAUUAAGACAGUUAGUUGCAGACAUUCAUUUAAAGCAUGGAUAUGCAUUUGCAAUAUUCCAUCUGCUAUGGGCACUUCCUAGUGCUAAGGCUUUAAAAUAUGCAAAUAUGAAGAAAGUGCAAUCCCUUGCUUGCCCUCAAGGCAUUUACAAUCUAGUAAAGAAGACAAAUUUCAAUCGGUGUUGGACUGACAGGUGUAAGUUGUAGUAGACUCUGACAUCUGUAAUCAUGUUGCAAGGAUAGUUUUAUGGGGAUUCAGAGAAGGGAGCACUGUAUCCAGUUGCUAGCAUUAGGGAAACCUUCAUUGUGGGGAGUGGGAGAGGUCAUCUUUGGCCGCAUUUUGGACAAUGUGUAGCAUUUUGAUAUGUGGGACUUAAGGGAAAAGCAUUCUGGGUGAAAGGAACUGCUUAAACAAAGGUACAGAGGCAGAAAAGUCCAAGAUGCUUUUCUAAAGAAAGAUAUUGACCACAGAGAAACCAGAGUCAAUAUUACCCCAAUGACAGUAAAUAUUGAAGUUCAAUAAAAACUGGUUGGCAUAUCUGCUAUGCCUAAACAAUUUUGCUAAUAUUAAGAAGGUUCUCGGCUAAAAUUCUGACUCAUCAAUUAUUUACUUUUUUUUUUUUUAAUUUAAAUGACUAUUUCUAUGGGGAAUCUUUUGUAAAUGUGUCUGGUCUAAUUAAUUUGGUGCCAACCAGGCACCAAUGCCUUGUCGACUCUCUUUAUUUACUGUGGUAUGCAGUCACUUUUCUUAGUUGUUCCGUGCCUCAUCCUAGGAAGUAGGUUUGUCCUGUUUGCUUUCAUAAGCAUGACUGGCCAGUAAAACCCUUGACCUUUAAAUUAAUGGGUAAUACGAAUUCAUCUCAUUCCAUCAUGAAACAAAGAUUCUCUGUAUCAGAUAUUACUAUUUAUUAGUAAGACAAGGGGAUGGGGGAUGCCAUGUGCUCUGAGGUAUCACUAUUAGUUAAUGAGAAUGGUCCACAUUUUAUCCUUCUUAGGAGUAAUUUUUCUGAAGGGCAUUGGGAAAUUAAAUAAACACAUCUGAAAUUGGAUUUAGAUUUUGAUAGAGCAGAAUGAUUACAACUAGGGUCCCUUAGUAGCCUGGGGUUAUUCAAAUACAGAUAAAGACAAUACAUUUCCAUAAAUUCUGAAGAAAACAUGUGGCUGGAGUAUGAGCCAUAUUUUUCUGAGUGCUGGGGUUGAUGGCCAUUAAAAAUGAGAAGAACUGAAACAUGCAGGCAUUAGUUCCUCACAUGACAGUUGCUCUAAAUCACCAUUUAUAGAAUGCACUUUUUAAUGUGAGCAUUUCUAAAGUUAACAUGAGCAAUAGAAAUGUCAAAAGUGAAAAUUAAAUCAUUAAUUCUAACAUAUUCCUUUCCUAAUUAAGAAUAAUUACAGCAGGGGCUAGAUUUUAUUCACCCUUUGACCUCAACCUUGCUUGCUCAGUGCCUGGGACUUACUGUUUAUUGAGCGAAUGAAAAAAUUUUUUUUAUCAAAUCUUUUGCUUAGGCAGGUCCACAAAUGGCAGGGGGCAUACCCGGGAUAUUGCUGAAAAUGAGCAAUUGAUAUGCAAGAGUUAGACAAAAUUCAGCUGAAGCAGUCCAGGGCUUAAAUAAUACUAGCUCAGAAAAUUAAGAUAGAGACUUAUCAAAGCUUUCUUUCAGACUGAUCCUUAAAUGUUUUGAAAUGUUUAUCUAAACCUCUUAAACUCUAAAAUAGUUUUGAUGCCUUUUGAUAGCAAAUUCUGAAAUGCCUCAAUUAAUGUGAAGCCACAAUUGAUUAUGUUUUUAAUAUACAAAUAUUGGUGCUAAUGGAUUUAUAAGACAUUGUGAUGGACUUAGAAUUGUAAGUCUUUACUAUCAGGCAGCCUUUAGGAAGCAGCUACUAACAUGUUUAUAAAGGAUGCAUACACUGGGAAAUUGUGGUCAAAAUGUCAAACAGUAAAACAGCAGAGUUCAAGCUGGUUCACAUCAAUAUUUAUUUUAAUUUUGUAAACACUUAUUUGGGUGAUUUUUUUUAUGAAAGCCUAAGCUUUAGAGAAACACCUUUAUAGAUCAAUUUUUUAAAAGCAUUUGGUCACAUAGAACUACUUGAAACUAUUGUCCAAAUAGCCUGCUAAAGCAGAUGUGCUGCUUAAUUUUUUUUAAACCCAGUGCAUGAUUGAAACAUUUUCUGUGUCACCUAGUUAUCUGUGGUCAGAAGUGUUUGUUGUUAAUAAUACUUUAUUUUGAAUUCAUAAAUGAUUUGUGGAGAUUCAUGGAGUGGGUUCUUUUCAGGCUUCUAGUAAUUCAUUGUAUCGUUUGCCUAAAUUGUAUUACCAUGCUGGCUGUAUAACUGAGCCAUAUCGGGGGAACUGACUUGUUGAAGCUGGUUUGGGCCAUGUGGCAUUGAAAUUGCAAGCAUGAGUAUAACAAGCUAAACCCAAAUGAAGUUGGACAUUGCUAACUGGGAGCUUGUUGACAAUGUGUUGAGAUAAGAGCCUGUUCCCUUCAAGAAAGACUUGUCCCAUAGAAGUCUUUUGAUCCUGAGGGUGUGGGGCUGCCCUUGACCAUUGAUAUAUAGCAGAGGUAGGAAGGGUUUUGUUUAGUUUUUCAAUAACAUUCAUUGCCUUUUUUUUCCUGAGUAGAAAAGUCAUUAUUUAAUUUAAUUUUGUUUUAUGUUUUGUUUGUUUGGUUUUUAACCAUUUCAGUAGUAAUAGUAAUAGUGAUUUCCUUAGUUGUCAUGAUUUUUCCCAGUAGGUUUUUUUCCCUCAUAGGAACUAAAUACUGUUUUACUUCAAACUGAGUGCUUCACACUUUGGAUCUCAAAAUAUAUCCUAGGAAUUUCCAAAAUUUCUUCCCCUUGUAUGGUAUGCUCACAGAUUUCUUAGAUAGUCAAAAGGGGCAUUACAUCCCAAGACCAGCUCAAUGAAUGACAAGAAAGAAUAGCUUUCCAUCAUCCACCUUAGCAACCCACUCCCUCCCAAUGCCUUCCCCAUCCCCCACCCCACCCAAGCGUACAAGGCCUGGCUGUGUGCCUGGUUACCUGUAAAGGAGAAGAGCAGUUACUCUUGGUAGAUGACAACACCCAGUAACAAUAACAAAACCUUCAUGAGCUCAUCCCCCUUAGAAAGCAAUUUAGUUAAGCCCACCUGGCUCACUGUUUCCCCCUGAGCAUUUUCCUGUGUCCAGUGUGCUGUCUUUUAGGAUGUGAGGCUGUCAGUGCCAGAUUCACAUGCUUAAGAAAUAAACUCAUUUUUUUUCUUUUGGUUUGAGGGUUAACACAGGGUGGGGAUACGAGUGACCCAGUAGACAGUGGAGACCGAGCCCUAUGAUCUGUUUUGUUAAUUUUGCAUAGUGGGUGCUCUGGAGCCACACUGCCUGGUUUUACAUUUCAGCUGCCUCCAUCAACUAGCUGUGUUAGUUUGGGUAUGUUAUCCAACCUCUUUAUGCUCCAUUUUCCUGACUUACAAAAUGGGGCUUGUAACAACUUCAUGGGUUAUUAGGAAGAUACAUGUAAACAGUUAAAGUUCAUACGUGUAAAGAGUUACAACACCUAACACAAAGUCAGUGCACAAUCAAUUAUGAUUAUGUCCUUGUUUCUCUAUCCUAUUCUUCUCUUUCUUCCCCCUCUCUAACUCGCUCUCCACCUUUCUCUCCAUUUUUGCUUUCUCUUGUUUCUAUAAAGAAUCUAAGAUACACUAGGAUUAAAAUAAGUAUAUGAGAAAAUCAGUGUUCUUUGGGGCUUUCAUAUAACUUGAAACUCUUAUACACUCAUAAACUGCUAAUGAUUUUGCUUCCACACAACCAGAUGUAUCUCUGGUUCUACACAUCACCUCUUUCUCAUGGAACUGUUUGGGCAUAUUCCUGUAUACGAGUCUAUUACUAGAAAACAAAGGAAUAAAUGAGGAGAAAAUACUAUGUGUAAGUUAAAAGCCAGAAGAGAUAUAAAACAUUACAUUUCUGAUUCUUCAUGUUUAUUUUAUGAUCUGGUGACCUUGUCUAAUUAAAGGCACAUUUCUUGGUGUACAGCGGUGAUCACUGAGUACAGUUUUACUCACUUAGGUAAAUGAAGUAUUACUCUCAUUUAGAAUAGGGUAAUCAAAUGUGUCAUAGUGAACAUUGUGUUUAAAUAUAUAAUUCUGUACAUCUAUCUCUGGAUAUUCUACCUCUCUUAUAUAGGCCUCUUUUGAAAAUUUGUGCAGGAAAAAUUAAAAAGUCAACAUAGAAUUCCUUUCGGUAUACAUUAUAACCUUUUUCCCCACAGAGAGGUUAUUUUUAGUUUCUGUUAUGUCCCUGACCCUGACAACGUAGCCAAACCAGACUUUCCAUCCUGAUCUUCCCCCACACUCGGCUCAAUCUCCACAGGUUUUGCCCCUUCCAGGCGACCUUGUCCAGGAGUGUGACAAACCCAGGCCUGGCUCCUGGGGCAGAAAGAGGAAGAACGAUAUGUGUAGUGUCCCCUUGCCUUCCUUUCACCCCUGACGUAUUUAUCUGGGGAAGUUGAACCACACUGUACUGUAAGAACAGUGUUGAGAGGGAAAGAAAUUUACAGAAGAACCAACAAGUCACCUAAGAGGUAGAGGAAGAAAGGAAAAUUGGUUCCUUCUACUUUUCCAGGGAGGGAGUAAAUAAAAGGACAGGCUCAUAGCUUUACUGUUUCUCCACUACAACCUUAGCUGCUUCUGAGCGUGUGCUGCUUUCAAUUCCAUGGAUUCGCCUAACUCCAGAGACAGCUCUGUGCACACUGGAGGAUCACCGCUCCCUCUCUCCACACCAGGAGUCUGUAACUCAGAUAUCUGGAGACAAGCAAGAAAUGCCUUGUGUAAGACAGAUGGAGUGAAAGACAGUAGGCAUUUUCCUUGCAACUAAGGCCACUAUCUACCUACCCACAUCCAGCCGCCUGUGCUUGCAGCUCCAUGUCAUUCUUACCUCCACAAUUAUGAUGGCUUAGAAGGGCCUUACAGGGAAAGGAUGUGAGUAAAAUAGGCCAGAGGUGGAACACAGGGGUAUGGGAAUUGGCACACACCCUGUCCCUAGAAAGGACAGCUGUGGUGGAGAGUGCAUCUUAAGUUAUUGGACCAUCCAACUUUUCACACAAAGCUAGAAAAUAGUAUGUUCUCUUUAAAGUAUCCAAUUUUUAAAGCACUGUGUGAGUCAAACAAAACUCUUCAAACAAAACAAGACCACAUGUAGUCUUUAGGCCAUUGUGUGCUAGUUUUCUUUUUUUCUUUUUUUCUUUUUUUUUUUUGAGACAGAGUUUUGCUUUUGUUGCCCAGGCUGGAGUGCAAUGGCGUGAUCUCGGCUCACCACAACCUCCUCCUCCUGGGUUCAAGCAAUUCUCCUGCCUCAGCCUUCCCGAGUAGCUGGGAUUACAGGUGCACGCCACCACCCCUGGCUAAUUUUGUAUUUUUAGUAGAGAUGGGGUUUCUCCAUGUUGGUCAGGCUGGCCUCGAACUCCUGACCUCAGGUGAUCCACCGACUUCGGCCUCCCAAAGUGCUGGGAUUACAGACGUGAGCCACCGCGCCCGGCCAUUGCGUGCUAUUCUGAUAUAACUCUUACCAGCUUGAGCAUCAAGUCUUCAUGCCCUCACCACCCGUGGUGUGCUGCUCCUCCCCCGAAUUCCAUAACCAGCAUCCUUUACCACUCAUUUGUCACUUACUGGUGCUUUUCCUCAUUAUUUCCAGGAAGUGGGGCAAGUCACCAUAAGACAGUUAUGAGCUGUGUGAGGACAAGAACUAAUGUCUGCAUUUCCCCAUCACAACUUUCUCAUUGCCUUGUGCACAGCUGGGCCCAAGUAAAUACCUAUAGAUUUGUUGUUCUUUUUUUCAGUUACUCCUAGUACUUUCUUCAUAUUACAUGUCUAGGACCAUAGCUCAGCUGCCCACUAGUUAAUGACACUUGAACAGACACUUACAUUUGUUUUAUUAGUGACUGAUGGCUAAGAUGAGAAUGGGAAAAGAACUAGAGGGAAGACUCACUUUUCUGUUUCCUUGUUAAAUUUUGUCCUUUAUGCUAUUAAAAUGAAAUACUAGUUUUCACAAUCAAAUUAGCUUCCUAUUUUUAAAGAACCUAGUCCUAGUGGCAACAGCUACCACGUAGUAUUAAACACCAACUUUAUGUCAAGUGCUUUACAUAUGUUAUUUCUCAUCCUCGCAGCAACCCAAGAGGUAAGUGUUAUUAUUCACAUUUUAAAGAUAAGAGAGCUAAGUUGGCUGGGCAUGAUGGCUCAUUCCUGUAAUCCAGGCACUUUGGGAGGCUGACGUGGGUGGAUGACCUGAGGUCAGGAGUUCGAGACCAGCCUGGCCAACAUGGUGAAACCCUGUCUCUACUAAAAAUACAAAAAUUAGCUGGGCAUGGUGGUGGGCACCUGUAAUCCCAACUACUUGGGAGGCUGAGGCAGGAGAAUCACUUGAACCCGGGAGGCAGAGGUUGCAGUGAGCCAAGAUCACACCACUGCACUCCAACCUGGGUGAUAGAGCAAGACUCCAUCUCAAAAAAAAAAAAAAGAAAGCUAAGUCACAGAGAGAUUGAGUGGCUGUCCAAGACCAUAUAGGCAGGAGGUGAGCCAAGAUAGCAGAGCAGUUAUACUUCCCCUGUUACAGCACUUAAGACAUCAUUGUAAUUGUUCACUGCACUGUACCCACUCUACACCAACAACUCCAGGAGCAGAGACUGACUUUGUCUUAUUCAUCACAGUAUCCUCAGUGCCUAGCACAGUGCCUGGCCUAAAAUGGGAAGGUAGGAAAGAUUUUCUGAAUGGAAAAGUAUCCUACUGCCCCACUUCUAUUACUUGUCCUUUGUUAUGAAAGAAAUUACUCCAAAACUGAGAUAAUAAGCAUUCAUUUUGACACUGUGUCUUUGGGUCAUGGAUUCUUGAGUGGCAUAGCCAGAUGGUUCUGACUCGGUCUCUCGGACUCAUGAGGUUAUAAUUAACUGUAGGCUGGGGCUGUAGUCAUCAGCACACUUGACUGGGGCUGGAAAAUCUGUUUUUAAGCUCACUCAAAUUGCUGCUGUCUGGAAGCCUUGUGCUUUUAUUCCAUCCCUUGGGCUUCUUCAUAGGCAAGUAUCCACAUGGGCCUCUCCAUAAGUGAGUGUUCUCACAACAUGGCAGCUGACGUCUCUAAGAGAGAGUGUAGGUGAGAAUAGCCAAGACAAAAGCCUUAGCAUCUUUUAUAACCUAACCUUGGAAUUGACACCUCAUCACUUCCGCAGUAUUCUUUUGAUCACAUAGACCAACCCUGAUACAACGUGGGAGGGACUACAUAAGGGUGUCUGCUCCCAAAAGGUAUUGGGGGCCAUCUUGGGGCUGGCUACCACAGAACUCUACUGUAAACCCUUUCUGUGACACAGACACUCACGUUACAGCUUCCUCCUUUGAAAAAUUUUACUUUAAGCCUUUUAGAAUUUCUUAAAGAAGAUACCCUUCCAGUAGAAUUAGACAAGACUUCCACAUCAUUUACAGUGCUGUUACAUACAUGCAUGCAUACAUACAUAUGCAUAUAUAUAUAGAAAACCAGCUAUUUAAAACAGUGUAUGCCUGAUGUGAUAAAUAAAGUGCGAUUUGUUUAAAAAGAACAUUUAUGGGGUUUUUGAGGAAGCUGUAUAAAUAAUUUGCCAAGGAAAAAUGAUACACAAAGCCUAUGGGCCACUUGGACUAUAGUUUUUAAAGUUUGUAGGUGUUAGUUCUUUUCUAUAUUUAAGUCAUUGAAAUGACCACUUAAACCACAUGUAGACAUGUGGGCAAAUAUAUCUAAUCACUGGUAUAAUUAUUUAUUUCAUGAAGGGGAAAUAGGCCUUUUAUAUGAUGACCUUACAAUAAGGGUCAUUUUUAUAUUCGGAAAGAUAAGCACCUGUCAUUUUCUUGUUAUUCUGAGGUCAGAGCCUACCACAGAGAUUUUAAUAUUUGAAAACAAUUCUAUUCACUGGAAUUUCAGCAGUUAAAAUAAUGAUUUUCUUAAGAUGCAGCAUUCUGAUGCACUAUGUCUGACCUUUCUUGGUCAGGAAAAUAACAUCUUCAACAUCUCUUGUUUCUUAUUCUACUCUUUCCAUAUUGCUUGAAACUGAUGUUAAAUGAUCAGGAUGCUUUUUCACUUCUUUAGUAUCUUAAUUAGCAUGUGUCUGUUCCUGUAGCUAUCAUGAGAUGUAGCAGCUUUUGCAGUGACAAUAUCUUCAGUCAAAUAUUUGUACUUUAAAAAUAUUUUAACAAAAUGUAUACUAGUAAAAAUGAAGUUGGAAAUCGAAAUCUAUAGAAAUAAUUAUCAUUGGAAAAUGGUUUUUUGGUGGGAUAUAUGGUUAUGAUAAAGAUUUGGUGAAUCUUAUUUUAUUUCUAUAUCAGUACGUUUUAAGAAGUUCCUCUUAUACUGUGCUGCUUAAUCCUACCAAAAAGCUGGGCAUAUGCUUUGGGAAAGGAUUAAGUGAUGAGGUGUAUUUUUGCUCUUUGAAGGAGAAUUCAUUAAAAUAAGAACUCAUUCUAAGAAAAGGAAGCAAGUAAUAUUGAACAAACAUUUAACAUGGUUAAAUUAAUGAAGGUAGUCUUAGCUUUGGAACAAGAUCAUUAAAAAUAUGAAAAACUUCUUUUGGGUAGUUAAAAAUCACUUUAAAAGUAAUUACAUUUGUAGUAAUGAUGAAGAGGAUGGGGGAAUAAUUUGAGUGUAAACUCUGUGACGACAGGGAUCAGAUCUUGUUAAUUUUCAAAGUCCUCUUCCUGAAUCUAAUACUUUUGAGUAUAGUAGAAGACAAUAAAUGUUGAAUGGAUACAUGAAUGGUAUGGUAGAUUUUUAUAAUGUAAUUAUAUGACCUUAUUUCUGCAUAGAAGCCAUGUUUCUUGUUUUAGAAACAUUCUAUUUUUUAAAGUCUUUCUUCUGAAUACUUUGUCAUCAUAAAAUUAUUUUAAGCAUUUAUCCAGUAUGCAUCCCUCCCUGACAUAUUAUUACGCCCUCAAUUUUAAAAAAAUGAAAUCACAUUGGUGAAUUAAAUGUUCUGGGUUUUGUUUGCCAGAUUCAGUGGUGCCUCAUGGAGCAGCGGUCCCAAAUCCAUGUGGAAAGGGGUUUGCUGCUGAAGUCUCCAUGGCCCUUAGGCAAAUGGCUCCGUCCAGAAUGGUACUCUGAAUCUCACUUUUAAAAGGAUAGGGAAGUUUUAGUCUUAUUAUCACAAAAUAAUGGCAGUUUAUUCCUAGGCAUUUUCAAAGACUGCACCCUGGCUUUCAAGUACAAUAUUUGCAGAAAAAAAAAUGUGGUAAACACAUAGGAAAAGAGAAACAGUGUGGUAAACAAAACACACAGGAAAAGAAAAAAAAAUGAGGCGCAUUUAACUGGCCUUAUUCCAGUUAAAAUCAUCUUCAGUGUUCAGGGGGAAUCAUAAAAAUUAUAUACUUUUCCAGUCUUUUUUUUUUUUUCCUCAAGUUUUUUCAAGAUGAUCCAUUUAGGACCACACUGUGGCAAAGCCUGUGGAAAACAUGGGUGGCCCCAGGAGUGUCUGUAAGAGCUUCAAAGAAGCCAAUGAUGAGCUGUUGUUGCCCUAGGUAAAAGCCCCCAAAAUCAAUAAUCUCUUGAGCCUUGUAAUCUCAUUUUCCUUUCAGAGGCAUUUCCCAAACCAAAACACCAAGCAAAAUGUGGCAUAAAGUCAAAGAAUCUUUGAUUUGGAAAGGAUCUUUGAAAUCAUCCAGUCCAAUUUUUAUCUCCUACUCAAAUUUCUUUUAGACAGUUGACUCUAAUAUUAUGACCUAAUGAAUAAAAUAAUUUUGCCAAAAGAAAAAAUAAAUCUGUGUACAUUUCUUUUGUUUUGCUUUGAUAGCUUAUUACUCAGAACUUAGGACAAAAUACCUAUUUAAGAAUUACAUUCGGCCGGGCGCGGUGGCUCAUGCCUGUAAUCCCAGCACUUUGGGAGGCCGAGGCGGGCGGAUCACGAGGUCAGGAGAUUGAGACCAUCCUGGCUAACAUGGUGAAACCCCGUCUCUACUAAAAAUACACAAAAAAACUAGCCAGGCGCGGUGGCGGGCGCCUGUAGUCCCAGCAACUCGGGAAGCUGAGGCAGGAGAAUGACGUGAACCCGGGAGGCGGAGCUUGCAGUGAGCUGAGAUCGCGCCACUGCGCUCCAGCCUGGGCGACAGAGCGAGACUCCAUCUCAAAAAAAAAAAAAAAGUAUUACAUUCCCUCUGAACUUUAGGAUGGAUCUAGACUGUGUGGACUGUCCAACACGUGAAAUGAAAAUGUCUAUCAGUUGUUGUCAGGCAGAUUUUUGCUACUUUCUUAAUACCAAAUUUUCUUAUGUUCACUGUAAAGAAACUUAGAGCUACUUUUAAUCUCAGCCAUUUGUAAUGAGAGCUGUCCCAGCAUGGUGACAUUGACAAAUCCUAAUAAUCUUUAGAAGAAACGACAAUAGAGUAAUGUUACUUGCUGUGGCCAAAGUCCAGCGGUUCUAGGGAUGACUUGUGAAUAAGAUUUCUUGUCUCAUUGGACCUAGGUAGAACAGAAUAAAAUGUAUUAUCUGUUGAGCUUGAUUCUCUACUCUUUUUAUUGCCAUUGUUUUUCAUUGUUUUCAUCAUCAUGCUAUGUAGCAAGUAACUUGGAAGGACUUUUGGAAGGAUUAGAAGUUCUGAUUGAUUGUCCAUGCUUCCAAUACGGCAGUUCCUUAAAAGCUCCCUGGUAAUUUGGCAACAUAUUAUUCUGAUCACUUGUGUAAAAUGUACUUGUGUAUGAUGACCUUUCUCAAACUACAUGGUAAAAUGAGGGUGAGGUUCAGUGGGAAGCUUGUUGAGUUCCUUAGAGGUCAUCAAGAUUAUGCCAUAGAAAAUAAUUAAUUUUUAAUGUCAGCACCUAAAUUGAUGUUUUUCGCAUAUAAAAACCAAAUCUAGAAAGAAAAGAAGAAGAAAAAGUGAGUUUUGCUAAUUGCAAAAUCUGACAAAAUAGUCACCUUUGGUAAAGCCCAUUUGGUGAGAAAGGUAAUUUUUUUUUUUUUUUUUUUUUUGUGACGGAGUCUCGCUCUGUCGCCCAGGCUGGAGUCCAGUAGCGCUAUCUCAGCUCACUGCAAGCUCCAUCUCCUGGGUUCACGUCAUUGUCCUACCUCAGCCUCCUGAGUAGCUGGGACUACAGGCGCCUGCCACCAUGCCCAGCUAAUGUUUUGUAUUUUUAGUAGAGACAGGGUUUCACCAUGUUAGCCAGGAUGGUCUUGAUCUCCUGACCUCGUGGUCCGCCCGCCUCGGCCUCCGAAAGUGCUGGGAUUACAGGCGUGAACCACCGUGCCCAGCCUUGAGAAAGGUAAUUAUUAGAGUUAUUUUUUCUUGGAUACAAACCUAUGGAUUCUCAAAUUCUUUUAAAAAUAAAAAAGCCAUUUUAUCGUAAGUUUGAAAACUGAGGUAUCAGGAUUUUCAUGUGACUAAAAAAGUGUCUACUCUCAUUUUCUAUUAUCAAUCGGGUACCCAAUCUGGUCAGAUAGUGAUUUGUCCUAGAGAGGUCUAGAAAGGAAAACACGGUUUUAAUUAAGAUUGGUAGAAACUAGAACAAUAGUUUUCAGUCUAAAUUAAAUUUUGGUCGUCAUACAUACAUUUGGAUAACCUAGAGUGAUUUCUUUCUUGCUUCCUACUAGUCAUACUAUAAUAAAAAGACAAGCACCUUUUUGUUUUGUUUUGUUUUUGUUUUAAGAGACAGGGUCUUGCUCACUCUGUCACCCCGGCUGGAGUGCAAUAGCACGAUCAUAACUCACUGUAACUUUAAACUCCUGGGCUCAAGUGAUGAUCCUCCCACCUCAGCCUCCUGAUUAGCUGGAACUACAGGUACAUGCUGCCACAUCCAGCCAAUUUUUUGAAUUUUUUGUAGAGAUAGGAGUCUCAUUGUGUUGCCCAGGUUGGUCUAGAACUCCCAGCCUGAAGUGAUCCUCCUGCCUCAGCCUCCCAAAGCACUGGGAUUAUAGGCAUGAGCCACCAUGCCCAACCCACAAGUACCUUUUCAAAGAAGGCUUUGUAGAUAAUAACCUAUAAAAUAUAAAUUUCUUGUGAUUUUUUGCAUACCCAAAACAUGUAAAUAAAAGUUAUAAUGAAGCAUUUUCCUAUCUUGACAAUAGAGAAAAAUAAAACAGAUAAUAGAUAUCUACGCCUGCCUGUUUGGACACCUAGUCACUUCUCAAUGUUUGCCAUUUAUUUUGCAUAUAACCUGAAUAUUUUACAAAUGUGGCUGUGAGGUAGGAAACAGACCAUUUUCUUCUUUCUGGUUUAUAGAUAAUGGCUGUUUUUUUAAAAAUGAUACUAAUUUUCUCAAUGUUAAUACUUAUUCAACAGAGUGAAUAAAUAUUACUCUUUCUAAUAAAGCAUAUAUUCAGUACACAUUUCCAGUCAUUUUGGAAGACUUUGCCGAAUGGGGAGAUGAAGAGGACGUUUUAAUAACGGGAUAUACUAUUUUAUACCAUUCAAUAUACUAUUUAAUAAUAGUCUUUUAGUUGCUGAAAAAAAAGUUGGUCUUUUUAAAAAGUUACAAUUGUGCAUCUUUCGUGAAGGUUAACAUUUUUCUUUUGCUGCGUUUGUCUUUUCACACUUUGGCUCCUAGAAUUUUUAUCCUAUUGGAAGAAUAUGUAAAGAAUAUGUUUCGUUUCCCCCCACUUCUUAUGUUGGUAUGGCUAUCUUUACAAAAUUAUUUAUACAAAGAUGUCUAAAAACACUGAGGUACUUCCUAUGCUGUAUUUCUUAUGCCUUUCACCUUCUCCCCUCUCUGUAGAGCUCAUUCUCUCUCGGCCUCUUUUUUUCUCUUCUCCUUCUGCCUUUUGCUCUUUUUGUAUCCCCUCUUUUGCAGACUCUUCACUGCCUAACUUUAAAUUGAUUAGAAUGCAUUAAUUUUUAAAUAAGUGUCACAUAUCCUUAACUGAGCACUAAAAGGUUGAGAAGGCUUCAUGGUGUAGAGUCUGAUCCAAAACUAAGUGAGAAGAAUUUUAAAAACAAGGGCUGCCCUUCAUUAGCCCUCAUGCUAUCUCCUGACAGGCUCAGUGCACUUCGUUGCCAUGCCAGGCCAGGGCAAGCCCUGCUGCCGUGCACCAUUUACCCUCUGUCAGCAGCUUCAGUCGGAGCUUGGGCGAUACUGUACAUGCGAGUCUGUCAUGCGUCAGCCUCAAUUAAGCUCAUAUUGCUGUGCUUGGGAAACACAUCAGCCUCCUGUUAACCAUUUUUUUGUUCUUGCUGUUCCUUUUUUUUCGUCCAUUUUUCCCAUUCAGCAGUCUCUAGAAAUCCAUGUUUCAUAUGGUGAAAAUAUGUUCAUAUUUUUUUCAAUUUUUUACAAAGAGAAGUGGGUUUUAGAGGAAGUAAUGCACAUAGGUUCCAGUAAGUUGAUUGUACUCAUGGAAAUGUGCUCAGUUAACCCCUGAGUUCGUUAGUUAAAGAAGGGAAUUACAGGUAACCCUCAUUUGUACCUGUGCCAUGCGUGGUCUUGAGUCUUAAGAAGCAAUUUUUCUUUAGGCCUUGUGAGGGUACAAGAGCAUCAGGCAUCUGGCAUUAUCAAAUGUUGAAGUACUUCUUCACAACGUGUUGUUUACUCAUGCCCUUGUCACCUAAGGUGGCGCUUUUAUUUUUUUAAGAAUAGAAUGAGACCUUACUACACUUGAGGGGGAGAAAGUGUAGACAGCAGCGGUUAAUAUUUGGUUCACUCUUUUGUGGCUUACCAUAAGUUUAUGGGAAAAAGAAAGAGACCGCCCAUGGCUUCAUCAUGCCUGGUGGUUGGCUCACCAACUUAGUCUCUUAUAAGAAAUUAUCUUUAAAAGGGGAUUCUCCAAAAAAAUAAAAGAAGAAGCUUUGAAGGGGGUUUGUUUUCUGUACCUAGAUAACUAUACAUUAUCCAAGAGAGCUCCUGUAUAUUUUAAUGGACAGGUAGACACUGAGACAGUUGGGCAUCUUGAAGGACUUGUGGAGAUUUUAUGGGCCUGGUCAGUUGUGAAGUCAGGUUAGAUUUUAUGGGCCUGGUGAGUUUGUGAAAUCAGGUUAAUCCAAGAGGCUAUUGUCAGAUACUGGUCACAAGGCACAGUUAUGAAAGAAAUUACAACACUGAAAAUCUUGUGAGAUCUGUGACAGCAAGGCUCUCAGCAGAAAGCAAGGUCAGUUUCACAGAUGAGAAUAGGGACACAAAAUGUGCCGUUAUUUUUUUUUCUUUUUUCAUAAGCACACCACCAGCAUAGGAAAGUAGCUUUUAAAUAGAAUCAUAUUGAUGGAUCAAUCCAAGGAAAGGGAUGGAGUACACAGAUAAUGGAAUUCAGAUUUCCCAAAUAUGUGGCAAAUGGAUCAUUGUUGAAAUUAUUAGCUGAAAAAAAACCUAAAAAUCCAUAAGUAUCUAACAUUUGUAUUGGCAAUGGGUUAAGGAUUUCCAAUAAGACUGUGGCAGUCCAUGAUAUUGACUUUCUGGAAGAUAUAUAUUAGCAUUAAAUGUGAAGUUAUUGAACAUCUUAAAGGAAAAAUUAUUUGCAAGAAUAAACUGUCACAGUAGUUUAGCAAGGGCAAGGUUUUUCUGAGAUACUAUAGAUGGAGAGAUUUCCAUCUGGAAAACAGAUGGCAGCAGAAAAGUGAUAUAAAUUAGUAUUUAGGAAUAGUUCUUUUACAUCUCAGGUCCUGAUGGAUAUUGUCAAGGGAGUCUUCACUUUAACUUUUUCUAGAGAACACAUCUCUUUUUGUUUGGAUGAGUCACAACAAUGAAGUUGUUUAUUUAACACAUAUUUUUGAGGCCCUAUUACGUGGCAGACACUUGUUAGGUACAGGUGAGUUGGUGGUGAACAAAAUAGACCUCCCUGGCCCUCAUGGGCUUUACAGCCUAAUAAUGGAAAUAGACAUUAAAAUAUAUAAAUUUUAAGCCAUAUUAAUUGGAUUGAUGGAAAGUCCAAAGGGCUGUUAAAGUGUGUAAUAGGGGAUCUUGAUCUUCGUCUGAGGGAGUCUGGGAAACUUCCCUAAAUAAAUGACAUUUAAAAUGUGAUCUGAAAGAUAAGUAAGAAUUAAGUAGGCAAAGGGCAUGGGGAAGGGUGGGAGAUGGGAAUAGCCCACUAAGCAGAAGAAAGAGCCAAAGCAAAGGCCCUAGGACAGGAAGGAGUAUGGCACACUGAGACAGUGAGGUGCACAGGGAGUAAGGUAGAGUGUGCUAGGAAUGUGCCUAGAGGCAGAGAUGAGAGCUAAAUCAUAUUUAGCCUCUUCAUGGGCCAUAUUUGGAUUUUGCCUGUAUCUGAGGCAGACAUUUUCCACCUGCAAAAUGAGAGGAUUAAGCAUCAAAGUUCUCAACCUAGGAGGCUGUUGGAAAUUAGUGAUCUGAUAUUACUGGAUAUUAGAUAAAAGUUUAAACAUAUUAUUUAAUGCAUUGAAGGAUUAUUAAGAAAAUAAGGAAAAUCCCCAAAAAGAGAAAGAGAGAAGCAGUGGGUUGAAAUGAGAAUAGAGAGCAGUGAUUUAUAAGUGUACAAGAAAGCCCAAGAUGUUCAGGGACCAAAUUUAACCACCAGCACUGCAAUCAGGAAUCUAAAAUGCAGGAGUACAUGCACAUUUGCAUAUAUGCCCACAUAUAUAUUUGUACACACAUGUACAUGUGCACACACUCACACACAAUGGGAUAGCUAAAUUCGAAACUCUUCUAUUUAGCCAGUACACUUGAAGAGGGUUAAAAUAGUCCUAGGUAAAUCAUGCCUACUGGCUUCCAGAAAAAAAUAAACAAAUUUUCUUCUGGAGGAAAGCAUCCCUAAAUUAGGCUCUCUGGAUUCCUAUACAUUCAGUUCAACAAAAUAUGAGCUUAUUAAAAAGAUUUACCAAACAUACAAAGAAAAAAAAAUGACCAUAAAUGAGAGUCAACUCAAACAGCAAAUAACACAUUUUUACUUCACAAGGUUUUCAGAUUCUGUCAUUAUCAAUGUAGAAUAAAAAUAAGAAUUGUAUAUAAUAUAUACAGAAAACUAAAGUGGAACUUUUAAAUGAUCAAGCAAUAUAAGACUAUUAAAAUGGCCAUAAGGAACCAUACAGAACUUUUUGAAAUUAAAAUCUGGAGGAAUGGAUUUAAAAGCAGAUCUGAGAAAGCUGAAGAGACAAUUAGUGAAUUGGAAAAUAUAUCUGAAGAAAUUUUGCAGAAUGCAACAGAGAGAGAAAAUAAAAUGGAGCACACAAGAGAGGUGUUGAGACAUGUAGGAUACAAAAAGCAUACCAAAAAGACAUCAAAUUAGACUUCCAGAAUGACAAGUUAGAGGAGCAAUAAUUUGAAAAGAUAAUAUCUGAGAAUUUUCCAAGUCUGCCAAAAGACAUAAAUCCACAGAGACACAACACAGACCAAGCAAAAUAAAUACAGAGUUUCACAUCUAGACACGUUAUAGUGAAACUACAGAACACCAAAGCCAAUGAGAAAUAAAAGCAGUCAGAGAUAAAAGACACAUCACCUAUAAACAGAUGGCAAAUUAGAUUGAAAGUAGGCAUCUCAACAAGAAUUGAAGCCACAAGACAGUAAAUAGUAUUCCAAGUUUUAAGGGAAAAUAACUGCCACCCUAGAAUUGUCUUCUCAACAUUGUGUCUUUCAAUAACAAGAGCAAGACAACAUUUUUAGAUAAAUAAAAACUAGGAGAUUGCCAUCUGUAGAUUUUUACUAAAGGGGUUUUUUAAAAGAAGUACUUCAGAAUGGAGGAAAAUGACUCCAGAAGGAAGAUAGAAGAUAUAAAAAUGAAAACUGAAUGAGAAAUUACUAAAUCUAAAAAAAUUAUAAGAUUUACAUUUAAAUUUAGAUUAAAAAUAAUAAUAACAAUAUCUAAUUUGGAAGGAGAGUUCAUUUUAAAUAAAAGAACUAACUCCUUCUGACUAUUUUGCUUUGUUAUUGGAAGUUAGGAGGUGAGUGAUCAGAGUUCAAGUAUUCUAAGGGCCUUGUAUUUUCAGGACAGGUGUAAAAAUAUUCAUAAACUUUGGACUUUGUUGCAUAUGCAUGGUAAAAUUUCAAAUAUUCUUAUUUAAAGAAUAAAAAUAAGACUAAAAACAAAAAACUUUACAAAAAUCACUUGUAUUUCUAUUUAAAAGCCAAAAAAAGGAAACAAAUUAAAGGUGCCAUUUACAACUACAAAGUAGAAGAUGCCUGGGAAUGAAUAUAAUAAAAGAUAUACAAAGUGGCCGGGCACAGCGGCUCACUCCUGUAAUCCCAGCACUUUGGGAGGCCGAGGUGGCUGGAUUACCGAGGUCAGCGGUUCGAGACCAGCCUGGCCAACAUGCUGAAACCCUGUCUCUACUAAAAAUAUAAAAAUUAGCCCGGUGUGGUGGCACCUGCCUGUAAUCCCAGCUACUUGGGAGGCUGAAGCAGGAGAAUCACUUGAACCCGGGAGGCGGAGGUUGCAGUGAGCUGAGAUGGUGCCAUUGUACUCCAGCUUGAGCAACAGAGUGAGACUCCAUCUCAAAAAAAUAAAUAAAUAAAAUACAAGACUGAACUCUUCUACUUAACAGCUGUGAACUUGAGCCAGUUAAUUUCUCUGAGCCUGUUUCUCAUCUACAAUAUGGCAAUAAUAGUAGUACUUAAUAGAAUGGUGAAAAUGAAAUGAGAUAAGUAGCAUUUAACAGUGUGCCAAGUCCACAGUAAAACUCUCAAUAAAAAUUAGCCCCUACCUCAUCAACAUCAUCAUCAUCAUCAUCCUUAGGUGCAAAGCUAAAAGGCAUGAGAGAAGUAACGACCCCAGCAUUCCAAGAUCUUAGAGCCUGAUAGGUUGGGAUAAUGAAAUAUACAAAUGAUUAUAUUAUAUAUAUAUAUAUAUAUAUAUAUAUAUAUAUAUAGAGAGAGAGAGAGAGAGAGAGAGUAAAUGUCAAAAGGUAAUAUCAACGGGCUGUUAAGAAGGAGCAAUAAUGUUUGGCCUAGGGGAAGGAGGAAGGGUUGUCAGAAGAGACUUUGUGAGGUAGAUGACUUUUGAGCCUGACCUUAAAAUAUUGGUAUAGUUAGAACAUGCAUACCAUAGAUAGGGAGGACAUUAGGCCAAAGUGUUGCUAUAUAUACAUUUUGGCGUCUGCCUCCAUUAGGCAGAUAUCUAAUUAUUGAAUAUUAUUAGGACAUCCAAGGUGAACAGCAGGGAGAUGCAAAAACACAAUGGUUGAUUAAGGGGUAGUUCAGCUUGACUGGCUAAGAGGAGGUGAGGUUGGAAGGAUAGGGUAGAGGAAAUACAUUGAAAUUACAGAAGUGAGUUUUGUUCACACAGCCUAUCAUGACAAUCAACCAAUUAUUAAUUAGCUGUCAGAUAACAAGAUGAUGUCUGGGAGAAUCUCCAACAAAAAAUAAAUACAUCUUCUGGAAUCGUGCCUGGCACAUUAGUAAACACAGUUUUUUUUUUUUUUUAAGGAACUAAUAUAUGUUGUGCAGUGUGUUCAGAAAAUUGUCAUAUUGGUAAUGUCAUGUUGAAGUAAACUAGCAGGUAUUUUUUUUUCCAGCUGACUUCAUGAUUGAAGGGAUAAGUAUAUGCGUGGUCCGAGCCAAUCCAUUGCAUUUGGAAAACAGUUAUUUGGGAGAAACAGUGGAAAGGGGGCUUAAUGGGAAUAAAAAUGUGGAAAUAAGACAGACAUGAUAAUGAAGACAGUUCCUCUAACCCAGGUACCUGUAAGCACGUUCAUCUGGAGGUCUGGGUAAGCACGUUCACCUGGAGGUCUGGGUGGGGAACACAUCCCAGAGAUGGAGAAAAUGUGGGCCCUUGUGCUCAAGGAUCUUACAGUCUCAUUUUAGGAGCUAGACUGAUACUCCAACAGCUCCUCUUUGAACUAUUUGCUGCCUCCACCUGGGAGGCCCCCAAGCGACAGGGCUGGCCUGGGGCUUCUUUAAUGUUGUUUCUGCAAAAUAUGUAGACUAUGUUUAUUUCUUAUUUCCAAACCAUACCUAAUUUUUGCAGAACUUUCCUCUUUAAUGUUUUGCCCAGAUGCACACAAUCGUCAUUCUCCUCGUGACUAGACACAGCUGGGGGAGGAAUGUCUGCUAGAUGAGACUUUAAUUAACUUCCUUCCUUGGAGUGAGGCUUGGGAUAAAAUGUACAUGGAUCUUUCUUGCCUUUUUCCUUGACAGUGGAACUGAUUUGCUUGCCAACAAGUACAUAUGUAGUGGGAUCAGGAAGGGAGGAUGGAAGUUAGAGGUGGAAGGGAAGGAGACACCACCUAGGGGAGGACAUAAUUGAAAGGGUGUCCAGCAUGGAGAACAUGGCUGUCCAUGUGGUUCGGGAAGGUCUCGACCCCUGGGUUGUAUUUUUAACUUUGAAAUUGUUCAGCAACAAUCUGGUUCUCCCAGGGCUUUUAAAACUCUCCUCUAAAGUAUUUCUGGCAACAGUCUGGAAAUCCUGGUGACAGGUAAAAGCACACUAUGUUUUUAAGCCUGGUAAGUAACUUUGUGUAAUAUUAACAGUGUGUGUUGUUCCUUUCACUUAAUUAUUAUUGGACUUUAGUAGAAUUUGCAUCUUAUUGUUGGACCGUAAAUCUCUUUGGGGUAUUAUUGUUACUGAUCAUUGAAGCUAUUUGAUCCAACAAGCAUUUAUUCUUUAUUUAUGUGCAAUACAUUGUACUAGGCACUGUGGAUCUAUGAAGAGGAAAGACACACUGCCUGCUCUGGAGGGAUGUACACAGUUUAGCGGAAAGAAUGGCUCUGGGAAAGGCUUGCUUAUGAGUCUGACAGCUACAACAGAGGUGGAAACUACUUAUAGGCCUAUAAGAGAGGAAGAAACAGAUUCAAGUGGGGAGAACUGGUAGGACUUGUGGCGGGGGCCAGUUUUUAACUAGAAAUUUUGAACUGGCUGGGCGCGGUGGCUCACGUCUGUAAUCCCAAAACUUUGGGAGGCCGAGGCGGGUGGAUGACCUGAAGUCAGGAGUUCGAGACCAGCCUGACCAACAAGGUGAAACCCCGUCUCUACUAAAAUACAAAAAUAAGCUGGGCAUGGUGGUGGGCGCCUGUAAUCUCAGCUACUUGGGAGGCUGAGGCAGGAGAAUCGCUUGAACCCAGGAGGCAGAGGUUGCAGUGAACUGAGAUCAUGCCAUUGCACUCCAGCCUGGGCAAUAAGACCGAAACUCCAUCUCAAAAAAAAAAAAAGAAAAGAAAAGAAAAAAGAAAUUUUGAACCAUGGCCAAGAGAUAGGAGAAUUCAGAGAUACUUAGCAAAAGUGAGUGUCCAGAGGCAUGAAGUGCCUUAGAAUUGGUGUUAGGUGAGCAAUGCGGCAUUCCAGACCGGGACUAUUGGCAGAGCCUUUGAUUAUAGGCUAGGACUUGAUUUUACAUAGGGCAUUUUGGAUUUUCUCUGUUCUAUAGAUGGAGAAUUCCAUCCAUAUGAAAUCUGUUGAAAAAUUGCCUGUUCUUUUCCAUCUUCUUGUUUUGGUAGUUUUCAAUAAUUGCCAUCUGUUCCAAUAUUAACUUGUAAACUCUAAGCAGAUAGCUACAUGUAAGGACUUACAGCGUUGUUUCCUAAAGUGUGUUUCGCUGCAGAAGGAGGCGUUCCACCAAAAGAUGACUUCAUGGCCAAGUGUCUGUGUGCAAGGCUGCGUACUGCACUCCUGUCUUGUAGAGAUUACACAUUAGCAUAUUAAUGGUUCUAAGAAGUAACAUUCCUUUUUUACUUUUUAUACCAAAGAGUUUCUCAAUGUAUUUGGUCACAGACCCUGUACAUCUUAUCAUCCCACGAAACAAGAUGGGGGGAAAUGUUGGACUUAGGUACACUUCAUAGUUUUUAUAUAUGCUUUAUGUAAGUUUUUCAUAGUCCCCAUACCAUCCUUAUCAGGUACACAUUAUUGUCCCCAUUACUCAAAUGAGAACUUAAGGUUAAGUGACUCUUCCAAGUUCACAAGCCAAGAAAAGAGCAAAAAUUUGUACCUAAAUUCUCCUAAUCUGGGAACCAUUCCACCACACUGUACUACCUCUUAGAUUCAUGUGUAUCAUUUCAGUGAGCACCAGCGUGUCCCAUCCUUCUCUGGACCCUGUCUCUAGAAGUCCUUUAUAAAUGUACUUCUACCUUGGCUUUUCCAGUCAUAGCAUGUAGCACGAAAUCCUUAAUUGUCCACUGUGUAACACCUUUCAUGACAUGUGCUGUUCCAUGUGGCACUGACUACUCCAGAGUCCCUGGGAACAUUAUGCUUUUUUUGCACACUCGUCUCCAUUUUCCACGCUAUACGCUCCUUAUAUGCAAGGUACUCUUAGUAGUUGCAGCAUCUGUCCACCGUCCUUGGCUCCGUAGUAUCACCGGGUGCUUCUUUACUAAAUGAGAGUAUUCCUCAGUUGUGGGAGUCGAGAGAGAGAAGAAGGAGACAGAGAGAGAGAGAGAGUUGGGGUGCUUAUUUUAACUCUGGUUCUAAUCAUGCUGCAGGGUCAGCUUGCCAAGAAACACUUAAGGCUCUGUUUUCUGUAUGUAGGCAGGUAAUCCUCUGAUAGAGAAACAUAGAGUUAUCCCAUCAAAAUGUGAGCACAGAAAUGUAUCAACAACAUGCCAUAAGCCAGUCGAUAUACCUAAAAGCCAAACUGCAAACCGGUCCCUGUGCCCCUGAAAGGGGUGUCAGAAUAUAGUUGUUUUUGCAGGUUUUAACAUUAAUUGGCACUAGACACACCCAGCUGAAGCAAGGUCUGUCGCUGGUUUUGAGCUUCCUCUGCCUUUUACUGAUGCUAAAAUGUUUAACUUUGGCUUUGGUAGAUUUUAAUGCAGACCAAGAGUGCUAUUUUUAUGUAUAAAAUUUUAUAUUUAUAAAACAAAAAGUACCUAAAAAAAAAAAAAAAGAAGAGGUGUAAUGGGAUUGGGUAGAAGAGCCAGGACUAGAAAGAGUCACAUACGUAUUUCUUUAUAAUGGAUUAAGGGAAAACCAGGAAAUAAGUGCAGACUGGCCAUGUUUCAAAAGAAAAUAAGAUUUGAAAGAUAAAAAUCAUCAAUUCCUAUAAUUUAGAUUUUUACCCAGAGUCAGUGUGUUCAUAUAAUCUCCUUUAUUCUUUUAAGCAUUUGGUGUAGCAAACUUCUUUCAAACAUCUUGAAAAUUUUUUGUCCAAAUAGCUAUACUUUCCAGUAUUGGUUUAAAAAUGCGAAUUUAAAAAUCUGAAGUACAAGUUAGGAAGUAGAUUGGUAGAAAGUUGAAGCUAUGUAAAUAAGAAUAGGCUGUUACUUAAGUUUUCAAAAUUCCAAUUAUGAGUAUUCCAGUGCAUUUAGACAAGCUGGGUUUGUUAUUUUUGGAGUUAGUAAGCAAUUUCACAAUGUGCUAUAUAUCACUUUUAAAGACAUGAUAAAUUGUCCCUAAUGGUAUUGUGUGUAUAAACUAGAGCUGUUUCUGCCUUGUGUAUAAUGCUCAGGAUUGGGUGGUACACCUGAAAAGGCUCGGAUUUUAAUGGGGCCUUUUUAGCACUUUUGCACCUCGUAUGUUCAGGAUUAUGUUUGAUUGAUGACUUUAAAUGUGCUGGCAUGAGAGAUAUGUAGAUCUUAAUGCUCUUAAACCAUUUGUUUUCCAAUCUCUAUAAAAGGCCCCUCUGUUUUGGGGUAACACUUUAUCCUUCUUAAGUAAACAGAAAUAGGUUUCUGGGAUUUUGCUUUUUAACAUUGUAAAUCCAGCAGGAAAGAGACAGGCUAGAGGCUUUUAAGAGAAGGCUGAAAACACCAUGUUCCCAUUUUAUUAGAGUAGCCCCAAAAAGUCAGGGCAUGUGUGUAUGUAUAUAUACGUAGAUAUAUUUUUCUUUCUUCUAAACAGUAUUAAAAUAACCUUUUUUUUUUUUUUUUGCCAGAACUCUCUGAAUCUUUUCUUUCCUUUGGACCACUUGAUAUCUCAGCCAUUAUCCUCAGCCUGCUGGCUGAGAACUCUCUUUGGAUCCCGUCACGAUCCGAAACAGCUACAGGGUUGGCUACUGUGUGGCCAGGGGCACAUUCUCCCCAACAGGUCUUAGAACAAGAGAUUGGGGCUAUAAUCGAAUCCUGCUUCCCAAAAGGCACUGGGACUUACUACCCAAGCCUGGAGGUGUUUUAUAAUCCAUUCCUAUAGGAUUCCUCUGACUUGGACAAAAUCUUCAGUGCUUCAGGAGGGGCUAGAAAAAAAUACUGCGAGGGUUUCCAGCUUCUGAUUAACAACCUCGGCACUGUGCAGGGAAAGGGGGAAAAUUGCCUCUGCUAAAGGAACAGAUUGUUUUAAGAUUUUAAGAACUGAUUAUAAACAGGUUACUUAGGGAGGAGAGAACUGCACUGGUCAGAAGCAGCCUCUGCUGCCAAGCUGUGAAACCUAUUGUAGCAGCAGAUCUAUUUGCAAGGGCCUUCAGCCUCGGCUCCCAGUUGUCCAUCAUCUUUCAAGAAAAGAGACCAGCAUGGGACUGACAAACACAUUUUCACUUCCGUCUAAGAUAUGAACUUAGGGGCUCAGGAGUUGAAAGACUAGUGCAUUUACCCAUAUUUAUAAUAUGUUGCUAAUUAGCAGUCACUGUCCUUGUGAUCUUUUUCUUUGUCGUCCUCUAGAGGCAUCCCAUUUCUUUCAUUUCCUUUCUUUCCAUCAUCAGCAAUACUAAAUGGAAUAUGGAUUAUUCUGGCAGCAGGGCAGUUUGAGCCCCAUGAUUAGUCUAGAAUGAAAUGUGAAGGGGGAAAAAAAAGUAUGAAAUGAGCCAUUGUGUCUCCUUGUUCUCAAGAUGUUAUUUUGAAAUCUUUGUGGUAGUGAUGUAUUUGCUAGUGGUUCCUAUUACCUAGAGACUUCUAGGAUACCUGGGAGGGCUUUUUAAUAUACAUUUUCAUUUUUUAUGUCUUAUUUUUAAAAUGGUUCUUAUUAGGAUAAAUGAUUAUAAGACUCCUAGGAUACCUGGGAAGGUUUUUUAAUAUACAUUUUCAUUUUUAUGUUUUUUUUAAAAAAAGUUCUUAUUAGGAUAAAUGCUUAUAAGUGAAAUACGAGUAUAACAGAAAGAUAAAAAUCGAAGACACGUAGGGUACUUAAAAUGGCUCAAACCUCAUAACCUUUUAUCAGCAGUUUGCUGCUGUUGUUGUUAUUGCUGUUUUAAGUCUGUGAAUCAGCAGUUUGGCAGUUUCCGAUAUGUUUUCUGCCAAAUAAUCACAAGAUUAUUCUUCACUUGAAUAAUUGGAAUUGUUUAUUGUAAUGGGUAGAUUAAGGGCCGGGCAUGGUAGCGCAGGCCUGUGAUGUCAGCAUUUUGGGAGGUCAAGACAGGAGAAUCACUUGAGGCUGGGAGUUCGAGACCAGCCUGAGCAACAUAGUGAGACCCCAUCUCUACAAAAUAUUUAAAAAAUUAGCCAGGCACAGUGGCACACACCUAUAGUCCUAGCUACUCAAGAGGCUGAGGCAGGAGGAUCACUUGAGCCCAAAAGGUUGAGACUGCAGUGAGCCAUGAUCAUGCCACUGUACUCCAGCCUGAGUGCCAGAGUGUGGCACUGUCUCAAAAAAAUAAAAAAAGUAUUUUGUAAUAAAGUAAGCGCUGAAUACAUAUGUUUAACUUGGGGGGUAACCUUUGUGGCUACGCCUAUGUUUGUGUGUUUAUGUGUUUGAGUGUAAAAGACUGCUGAAAGCACAGCAGCAGCCAUUACAUAUGGAAGCACGAUUAUCAGAAGCAUCAGGUAUAUGCAAAGGAAGAGCUAGUGACCUGGAUGGGAUUGGAGACUAUUAUUCUAAGUGAGGUAACUCAGGAAUGGAAAACCAGGCCGGGCGCGGCGGCUUCACGCCUGUAAUCCCAGCACUUUGGGAGGCCGAGGCAGGUGGAUCACCUGAGGUCAGGAGUAAAAAACCAGCCUGGCCAACAUGGUGAAACCCCAUCUCUACUAAAAAUACAAAAAAUUAGCCGGGCAUGGCGGCACAUGCCUGUAAUCCCAGUUACUUGGGAGGCUGAGGCAGGAGAAUUGCUUGAACCUGGGAGGCAGAGGUUGCAGUGAGCUGAGAUCGCACCACUGCACUCCAGUCUGGGCAACAAGAGUGAAACUCUGUCUCAAAAAAAAAAAAGGAAAACCAAACAUCAUAUCUUCUCACUCAUAAGUAGGAGCUAGGCUGUGAGGAUGCAGAGGCAUAAGAAUGACGCAAUGGACUUUGGGGACUUAGGGGGAAAGGGUGGGAAGGGGAUGAGAGAUAAAAGACUACAAAUUGGGUACAGCAUAUACUGCUCAGGUGAUGGGUGCACCAAAAUCUCACAAAUCACCACUAAGGAACUUACUCAGGUAACCAAACACUACAGAAAUAAAAAAUUAAAAAACAAAGACAGUACUAAAAUAAAUCUCUAAUAAGUCACGUAAAGCACUUCAGCAGUAGCUGCACAAAGUGGUAGAUCAACAAAUUUUUAUUACUGUUUUGUCUAUUCUAAUCUUUCCGUUUUCCCCAAGAAAAUGUCAGGAAGAAGAAACAAAGUACAUUUGGAAACUGCAUCCUUUUUUUUUGUAAUGAUUUCGCAGUAGUUAUGUGGACGCAUCAUUCAGUUCUAGAAUCAGUUUGAAUCAACAGCUUGGCUCCACACAAAACCUUCCUUUUUCAGAUGAUGUGGCUGAAGCACAGAGAGGUAAAAGCCCCCUUCCGGAGGUCACAUAACAGUAGAAAUCUGAGAUUUUAAGACCAUGAAAUCAAAAACAAUUAUGAAUUUUGGGGCAACUGCUCAGCUUCUUCAUGUGGCUAUAUCUUUAUUUUUUUUAAUCUACAUCUUCAAAAAUCCAAGCAUUUCUGCCUUUGAAAACAAGAUUUUUUUCUGUUUAUUAGGCAAAUUGAAUUUGAGAUAUAUAAUCAACAUUCAUAAAGUUACAGUAUAUUUAUCCAUUGAUUUAUAGAAUUAAUCUGUACUAAUGAAAUUAUAAUCUUUUUCUGUUGCUGAGGACAAGGACUACAUCUUAAUCUUCUUUGUGUCCCUAAAAGUGCUUAGUAAAAUAACUCCUAACAAGUAUUUGCAAAAAAAAAAGAAAGAAAGAAAAAAGAAAUACAGACCAGAAGUGAUCUUAAAACCAACUCUAGCCGCUUACAAAGGAGAAAACUCAGUCCUAGUGAAGGACCAUAUGUGUUGGUCAAAAGGAGAUAGAGCCAGGGUUUUCCAGCUGGUAGUCCACUGCUCUUCAGGUACAUUGGGGAUGACUUUGUUUUCAGAUAGCCUGCAUUUGCCAUCUUCCAGUUAAAAUGGGUAAAGGCUUAAUCUAAUAAUUUUAUUAAAUGUAAUAUUAUUUUUAAAUUCACACAAAUGCAGCCACAAAGCCUGCAUCAUAACUUUUCACUUCCAAGAUAUUUUGUUCUGUUCAGACUGGUAUAGUGUUUAACCACUUAAAAAUUAAUUGCAAACACAGCUUGCUGAAAUAUUCGUCCACUAAUAGCCAAUUAAUUAAACUUAUCUAAUGUUUAUUAUCCACAGUUGCCUGGCAGAUAAUUGAUCCUCAUUAAAUAUAUGUUGAUUCAGUCUUCCCUGUCUCAGCUCUAUCUCAAGAUGAGCUCUUAAAUGAUGAGCUUUGAAUAAUCUUGGAUGAUUUUUAAAAAAUAAAAAUUCCUCCUACCCAACCCUAUUCAGAAUCUCUGGGGAUAGACCUUGGGAUUCUAUUUUUAACAAACUGGACAGGUGCAUGCAUAGUUGAGAAUGACCACCUAAAGUAAGGAGAUUGAAAUUAUCAUUGAUGAAAAUACCUUCCAUUGAUCAGUCCAGUUGAAAACUAGAGAUACCUAAAUGUUAUCACCAGACAUAUUUUUAAAGUAGUUAUAUAGGUUCAGCAAACCCUAGUCCUUAUAUGACAGUUUUUAAAAUGUUUUAUCAUACCUUAAUUCAUCUUUAUUACAAAUUAUUUAAAUAAGAUAGAAGUAUAUAAAAAAAUAAAAGGAUCGUCCCCUUUACCCCUACCCAUCUAUCUCUCCCACUCUAACUACUCAAAUAUAACCACUAUUCAUAGUAGGUAUUUAAGCUUUGAGGGUUUCUCCCCUAUGUAUUCGUAUGUUUUGUCUGUAUCUAAGUACGUUUAUAUGUGUCAAUAUAUAUGCACACAUACAUGUGCAUAUAUUCAUAUUUACAUUUAUAAUGAGAUUAUUUAUUCAACAAAUAUCGAAGCAUCUACUAUGUAACAGGACCUGGUGCUGAGAUAACAACAGUGACCAAACUGAUGAGAUCCCUGUUCUCAUUAACUCAACAUUAUAAUAGUGAGACAGGCAAUAUAUCAAUAAAAAUGUGAUAUAAAAUGUGGUAAUGAUAUAUAAUAUAAAGUAAAAUAAAGUAGGAUAAAAGGAUAGAUAAUUCCAGGGGGUUCUACUUGACCUAUGAUGGUCAGGGCAAGACUCUGAGGGAUAUUUAGGCAGAGAACAGAGUCACAUGAGAAAAUGAGCCCCGCGCGUGUGUUGGAGAAGUGGACGCCAAGGUCUUCUAGACUACGUAUGCAAAACCACACGUUUUUCUUUUUAAAAAAUAAAAUUCUAUUACAUAUACUGUCCUGUACCUUAAUUUUUCUAGCCAACUCUAAUUUAUGUACACACCUCCAAGGUCUGUAUAGAUAGAUCUAAAUUAUUUCCUAGUGACUGCUUAGUAUUCCAUAAUGUGUCUGUAUCAUAAUGUAAUCAUUCACAUGUUGCUGGACAUUUUUUGUUUAUAUUUUAUAUUUAUAAACAAUGCUGCAAUGAAAUCUUAUGGACUGGAAUCUUUAUGUUUAGGUGUUUAGGUAUUAUAGGAUUAAUAUUAUUGUUCUGUUGCAAAACGAGGUUAUUGUAAGUAUUUGAAUUCUAUCAGUGAAAAACAGAGUCACCUAUACAAGAAUAAAGGAACCAGGACCUUGGGAUGCAAACAUGUAUAAUAAUCAUUUUAUGUAUAGAUAGAGGUAAGAUUUAUUUAAUCAUGUUUAAUUUUAAAAUUGGGCCAUCAAAGAAUCCUAAAUCAAGUUUUUAUCAUAAAAGACCAUAUUUUACAGAUUUCCAUGGUUUAAUAGUUGUUCAACCAACUGCCCUGGCACUGGUUCUCAUUUACAGGAUUGCAUCCAGUUUGAGUUUGUUUAUUUUUAUAAUGUCUGUUCUCCUAGUAUUGGAUCAUCCAUUUAAUCUUCAGUGUUGCUGCUUUACGGUUUUCUUUAUCCAAAAGUAUUUGAUCUAAACUAUAUUUUAUCUUUUAAAUGUAAGAUUUUCUUAUUUAAAGUCUUUUAAAAUAUUAUAAUUAUAAAUACAGAAAACCUUAUCUCCCAGAGAUAACCACUGUUAGUAUUUUGGUGUAUAUCCUCGCAGUGUUUUUUUAAUGCAUACACGUGUGUCUACAUUUAAAGUAUGAGUUUUUUAGAUGAAAUUUUUAAUUUUGGGUUCAUUGACUCUCUUUGAUACACCAGACAUCUCAUAACCCACACUUAAAAUAGACCCAUUACCUCUCUUAUCAUCUUUCUAUUACUGGUUACUCACUUAAUCAUGAACAACCUAGCAGACCCUCUCCAUGUUGUCAGUUGAAUAGACAGGUGCCUUGCAGGUUGUUUGCCAAGUGAAUGGCUUCUGGGGUAACAGGUGAUGUUACUGGGACACUCAGAGGCCUCAGACACUUGUCCAGCGCUGUCAUCAUGGCUGCAGGCAGAGCCUGCCUCAGGAUAGCACUCUGGAGCAUCUGAACCCAUGCAUCACAUUCCUCCUUAGGGACAGGGCACCAGAAAGUUCUUCUAUCCUACUCUUCCUUAUGACCAGGCCCUGAAGGGGUUGCUUUGGAUUUUCACAGAAAAAGAGAUUUUCCUCCUACACUAUUCCUCCUAUCGCCGUCAUUCUUCCCAUUCCCUGUUUCAUCACCGCACAGCUGUUAGGAGGAUAGUUGGCUUUUAACUGGAGGCUUAUCUGGGAUUUCCCCCACAUUGGAAUUAAGAAGAAACAGAAUCUUUUAAAAACAGGACCUUUUUUCCAGUUAGGCUUCCCUUAGGAAGGGGCUUCUUGUCUCCAGACUCCUGCAUGACCUUUGAGGAACGAGUGUGAAACAUGCUGUGAUUUAGGAAUGAAUGCUUAUUUAACGCAGAAGUUAUUUUAAAAUGAGGCUAUACAGCAGCAGUUUAGUAAUUAAACAUUUUUAACUUGCUCUCCAGUUCUCAAAAGUGGCUUAAGCAGUAUUGAGCUAAGCUUGCUAAGUUUCAAGUGACUGCAGUUAGUAAGUUUGCUUGUUUGUUUUAACUGGAUAAUUCCUCAGUCAAUUUGAGGGUUUUGAUGCACAUAAAUCCACUGUGCUUCCAGCCUCAUAUGAGCCAAAUCUCCUAAACAUGCCAUAUGCCAUUCAUAAGUCUUUCUGUGGAGUACAGUGGACAACUUUGUGACUACUGGAUUUUUUUAAACGAAGAUGAUUUUUCAGUAUUUAAAAAAAAUAUGGUUUUAUAGUAUUAAAACUGAGAGUAGAGUUGAGAGGGACUCUAGUAUGUUAAAGAAACACAUUAAUUGUGCCUAAAGGUGUUUGUUUUUUUCUCGAAAUGCCCACUUCGUUCCCAAUUGAUCAAAAGAUGAAGGUUCCAGAGACUCUUUCUUCUGACAGACUUGAUUAUUAGGGGUUCCUUUCUAGAGAAGUUGUUAUUUUGUAAACACAUGCAUAUGCAUAAUAUAUUCUGCCCAACACUCCCACUUUCUGAUCUGCACAGGACAGCAGAGCAUCCUAUGGAGUCACAGAACAAAGAAAAUCCUCACUCUGAAAUUCUUUCCUGGAGCCAAAUGUGUCCUCAGCUUCAGAAAGAAAAUCCCUAGCCUGGGUUGGGUCACCCCUCCAGCCCUCUGAGGAAAUUUUAGAUUCAUCUAUUCUGGAUAUUCCAAACAAAUGGAAUCCUACAACAUGUGACCUUUUGUGUCUGGUUUUGUUCACUCAGCAUAAUGUUUUUGAGGUCCAUUUACAUUGCAGCCUAGGUCAGUACUUCAUUCCUUUUUAUGGUUGGGAAUAUUGAUUUUAAGUUCUAGGCCUAGCUCUGCUAUUAACUCCCUGAAAGCCUGACGCAAACCUCUGAGCCUUAUUUUGCUCGUCUGUAAAGGUGAGGGCUGUGUAGCCUAUGGCAUGUGAGUUCCGCAGGAAGCUCUGGAACAAAAGGUCUUCAGUUCAAGUAAGUGUGAGGAACAGUGCAUACUGUGUCUUGUUUGUCGUGACUCAUAAUGCUCCAUGUACUAAAGAUUUGCACUCUUUAGCCCAGGAUUGCUCAAUCUGGGACCAGAGAACCCUUUUAUUUCGCCUAUUUUUGUUUACAUCUUAUAGAACAUAAUCCAGGAUUCUAAGACACUGUAAUCUAUGAAUCACUUAUUGAUGAAAUUCCACAAUAUGGUAAUUAUAACAAUAUAAUUGUAAUUGUAAUUGUAAAAAUAUACAACUUGGCCAGCCAUGGUUAUGUUGAUCUUUUCUCCAAGUUAGUGUCCAUCAGUUGGGGUAGUAUUCUUCCCUAGGGGACAUUUUGAACCUUUGUUGGGGCAUUUUGGUUAUCUCAGUGAUAACUCAAGGGUAAUAAACAUCCUGGAAUGUAUUGCGUAGUCUUUUACAACACUCCCUGAUCCUGCACAAACUCUCAAAUGUCCUGCUGGUCAUUUGUGAAGGUGCACACCCUAUUUAUAAUUAUCUGAACGUAGUUUUCCAUAUGAACACAAAGUAUUUUUGUGUGGCUUGAACGUAUGUGGAGUUUUCCAAGUAUACAAUAAUUGUGUAAAAUCAGGGUUUAUUUUAAAAGAGUUCUUUACCAUUGAAGGAUAGACAGGAUUAUGCUACAGUAACAAAUUAACCUAGAAAUUCUGGUGGUUUAACACAACAAAGGUUUCUUUUUUAUUUAUGCUAAAAGUUGAUCAAGCAUUGACAGAGGGCUCUGCCCCACUUACUCAAGCAUCCAGACUCCACCAUGGGGAUCGUUGCCAGCCACUGCGGGCAGGGAUAGACGGGAUUCACAUACCAGCUCAUCAAUAUUUUGACCCAAAGUUGAGGUACAUCACUUCUGACUAUAGUGUACCGGCCAGAAAUAGUCAUAUAGUCCUACCUAACCAUAAGGGGGUUAGGGAAGAGGAACAGGUGGAAAGUUGGGUGAGUACAGUGUUCAUGGUAAUGCGACUUGUAGUAUUUGAGCUGUCAUUACAGUGCUUGUGGAUUGGUUUGCAUAUGUAGUGUCACAUGCAUGUUGAUUGUACAUGCAUGUGACAGUUGUAUAGGCACAAGCAUGUACUUACUUAGUUGUAUCUAUUAGUAUAGUAAUGCCUGGGUAUUUACAAAUAGAAAUACUUCUUAUUUUGUUGUAAGUUAUUUUCCUGUAUUUAUAUUACAGCUAGGGCAUUAUAUUGAUUUCUUUUUUAAAAAUCCUGUGUGAAAUAUUUGUUACAAAAAGGUGGUCUGGGCUGGGCGUGGUGGCUCAUGCCAGUAAUCCCAGCACUUUGGGAGGCUGAGGCGGGCAGAUCACGAGGUCAGGAGUUUGAGAGCAGCCUGACCAACAUGGUGAGUCCUGAGAGGAGAGGUCUGAAGGAGAGGAGAGGUCUGAUGGUGAUGAAAGCCACUUUUCUAGGUCUUCGGCAUCAUCUGGAACACAUAGUGGGUCAUAGAGAAUUACGGGACUUACAUAAUAAUAGUAAGAAGAAGAUUAGCUCACAUCCUUUGAGUACUCCGCAUGUGCCAGGCACUGUGCUAAAACCCUGUAGGUUGAUUCUCUGCUUUAAGCAUCACCAGAAGCCUGUGAGGAAACCUCCGAAUUCUCCAUCUUACAGGAGAGAGCUGCUUUUUUCCUUCAAGUAUAAUGGAAAAGUUGUGGUCCCCAGAAUUUCUGUCCUCCCUAUGCUAGCACGAAGGGAUAAUUGAUCUUCAGACAUUGAAAAGAGAUAGCAGGCAAAACACCGGGGCUGGAACAACACAGCAGGAUACCCAGGGAUCCCAAAAGGAAGUCAAAGAAGAGAUUGGAGAAAAGCAGUGGUGAGGAAAAGGGCAUUGCCCCCAAAAAGUAAUGUCUCCCAUGCAGAGAAGACUAGCAUUACAUAAAUGUGUCACUGAGAGAGUUACCUUACCCUGACUCUGUCACCAAAUUUUAUUAAAUGCCUCUCCUAUUUCAUCCUUGUUGGUGAACUUCCCAGUUCUUCUCUUAUUUUAUGGGCAUAAGAGCUUAUACUUUGCAGUUUAGUUAGUUAAUUUAUUUAAAUAGCAUUAUCAAGUUGGCUCUAGACUAAAAAAAAAAAAAAGUCAUGACUCACUCCAGAAAAUACCAUCAGUUAACAAACGGAAAAAAGGAAAAAGGAUCACAGUUAACUCAGAAUUAUAAAACAAUGGUUCUUUUAGGCUUCCUAUUUUAGUGGUGUAUCCAAACACCUUUUUCCCAGAGUAAUAGAGCUUUCUUCCCUUUUGGUUGCAAGCAUUAUAUGAGCAAGAUUGGCCACUUUAAAAGUUUUGUUGCAUCUUUACUUUCAUUACUCAACCUUUAUUUCUCCUCAGUCUUUAUUCCAUAAGAAAUAUGCUUCAAUGGCUUAUGCAUUUAGAAUUGACUUUGUGGAACAGUGCAAUGUUUUCCUUGCCUGUGGCAAGACCACUUCGGUUCAAGGCUAAGAAACUAGACUGUUCCUACAGAGACCCUCUGGGUGACUCAUCUCUUUUGAGAUCCUGAUUGUCCAUUUUUUGGUUGGUGUUCUGGCAGCAGUGUGUGUUGCCCUGAAGGCACCCUCUCAUAUGGUGUUGACUACACUAUGCUGUGCUAUUUAAUUCUUGUUUUGGAUUGUGCCUCGAGUUUUAAGUCACUUGACAAUACAGAAGGUUUCUUUCUCCAAAGAUUAUCAAUAUCAUACCAUUGCCUCUCGGUGGUUAUACACACACACACAGACACACACACACAUACACACACACACACACACACACACACACACACACGAAUUUCAUGUUUUCUUCCUUUUGAAACUAAAUGUGAUCUGUCUGACCUUUCUGAGGAGUCUGCUGCUUUUUCAGAUUUAUGUCCCUGUGACAAGGUGGUUUGGCAAGCUGUUUGUCUUAAUCACUCAGCAUCUCCAUUAGACAAGCUGUUUAAAAAUCUUCUACGUAAUUAUCUUUUUUGACUCUCACUCUUCCACAUUCUUUUCUUUAUUGUAAACUUUCUUAUGACUUUUUUAUAUAUCUGCCAUGUUCUAAAAGGCAUUUAAGCCUUCUUACACUGUUUUGUCUGCUUUUCAUUAAGUUUGCCAUCAAUUUACAAUCCAUGCCCAUUGCCUCCUUCACAAUCUGAAUACAUAAACAUGCAUAAUAAAUAAACUCUGGGGUUGAAUCCUGGACUGAGUGGCCAACAUUUUUUCUGUGUCUUCCUUAACUGUUAAAAUAGGCAGACAGAGGAGCAUUAGAGGAGCUAAUUCUAGGAGUCUCCUACGGACAUUUGCCGGAGUUUUCACUGCCUUGUUGUUGCCUGUAACUGCAAAGUUCAGAAAGCUGGGGCUGGAGGUGCCUUUAUUCAUAAUAUGAGCCAGGCACUGUGCUCAUUAUUUGGGGGGAAUAAAAGAUAACACAUUUCCUGCCUUCAAGCAGCUUUUACUCUGGUAAAGAGGAUAAUGCAGGCAUGUAAAUCUUGUGGAGAUGAGACAGCGUGCUGAGGAAUUUAAGGAGAAAGAUCCCUUUGGUAAAGGCAGAUGCAGAAUUCAUGGCAGAUGUAGUGUUUUAGCAGAACCGUGAGCAGUCAGCAGGAUUGUACGGAUUGGAGAUUGGUAGAGGCAUUCCAGACAGGGAACCGCAAGGGUCAAAGCUCAGAGGUGGCCAAGUCUAGAAUAUAUGCCAGAGAGAAUUGAGAGAGAAGCCUGAAAGAGUAUUUAGGCCUAAAUUCUGAAAGGUUCUAAAUGCUGGCUUAAACCUUGGAUUUUUCUUGGUGAGCAUGGCCAGAGUGGUGUUUUAGGAAGAUUUUAGAAAGAUCAAACAAUCGAGACGUACUGAUGGUUGUAGACAAUGAAGACAGGGAAACCAGUUAAGAGGCUUUUGCACUGGUCUUUGUGAGAGGUUACAACAGUAGGAAUGGAAAAGAAACAAGUAUGAGAGAUAAUUCAAAGAAAGAUUUGAGAAAACCCGAUGACUGGUUCAAAAUGGGAAGCAAAAUAAAGGAAGAUUCAAACUGAGUUGAUAUGUGUGAGUCCCAAGAGACCCACUUGAUUCGCCCACAUUUAGCUGAUGGGAAGAGGCACAUAGCAAGAAGCUGUGAUUUUUAUUCAUGCCCACUGAAUUUAAGGGAUGAGUGAACUACCCAGCAUGUAAUAGGAAAUGGGGAGUAAAACUUGGAAUAGUUUUUAACAGAUUAAGCAUAGAAACAGAGAUGAUAUUUAAAAACCAUGAAAGUGAAUGAGGAUCUCAAAGGAGACUGUUUGGAGAAUGUAGGAAAGAAAUACAAAGUAAGAACUUGAACUGCCAAUAAUUAUGGGUUGAGAUGAGGCAGCACCUGCAAGGGAGAGAGAUCCGAGGGUUGGGCUCUGAAUGCUUUGCUCACAGUAGGCACUCUGCACAGAUGCAUUUGUGGAUGAAUACCUGUCAAAGUCAAGGCUGACUCUUUCACUACAAACUUUGCCAUCCCAUAAAUCUUUAUAUAAGGGCACUUUGUAGACCAAUAAUCUUGAGCUCAUCAACUCACAUAGUUGACAUUCAAUACCAGGGCUUUAUAUAAAGGUAUACAAUUGCAAUUAAUAUUACUUGUUAUUUUUACCUAUUGUAAUAGCUCAUUAAUUUUCUCCUGCCAUUGGAUGGUGUGUUAUGGGUGGGUAUGGUGAGUAUCCCAUUUUGUCAAAUAGAUUAUAAACUCCAGCCGGGUGCAGUGGCUCAUGCCAGUAAUACCAGCACUUUGGGAGGCCGAGGUGGAUGGAUCACAAGGUCAAGAGAUCGAGACCAUCCUGGCCAACAUGGUGAAACCCCGUCUCUACUAAAAAAAAUAUAUAAAAAUUAGCUGGAUGUGGUGGUGCGCACCUGUAGUCCCAGCUACUUGGGAGACUGAGGCACGAGAAUUGCUUGAACCUGGGAGGCGGAGGUUGCAGUGAGCUGAGAUUGCACCACUGCACUCCAGCCUGGGUGCCAGAGCAAGACUCGAUCUCAAAAAAAAAAAAAAAAAACUUCAAGUGUAGAGGUAGUAUCUUUUGUUCUUUGGUGUAUUACUAGAGGGUGCAGUCAGUAUAAAUUAAAUGCUAGAGAUCAAUUAUUCUCUUCCAAAGUAAAGAGAAAAUAAACAACCAUAGCAAAACAAAAUGAAACAACCAACAACAAAAAACAGUCAUUAAGAUUCAUUGUCAUGGAUAUAGAUAGAUCAGAGGAAACAUUUCACAUUUCUUAUGUAUCAGAAGGCCAGUCUAUUCUUCUAGAACCUAGAGGCCUCUGUCAACUCAUUCUAUCUCAGAAUAGCCUUAACCAGACAGAUAUAUUUAACUUAAAUAAUGACAUGAAGGCUUUUUUGAAUGGUUCCAAUAGAAACAUUAGAAAUUGUUUAUUCCUAACUUUUAUUUAGUUUUGUUUUCUUUUUUUAAAAGGAAAACAAUUUGGAGACUCGUGAGAUUUUAUAGGUGUCAUCUAUUUUGAAACAGUUUACUUUUAUGAUGUUUAUUCAUUGAAGGGUGUGAACAUUAUGGGUUUUACUGCAUGGCAAACUAAUGCUGUUUUUACAAUAUACUUUAUAUAUGGUGUCAGCUUUUUUGGUGCCUCUUCUAAUGUUUCCUUGUUGCAUAUCCGCAAAAAAUCAUGAUUAGAACUGCUAUAUAGGGCUGGGUGUGGUGGCUCACGCCUGUAAUCCCAGCACUUUGGGAGGCCAAGGUGGGCGGAUCACGAGGUCAAGAGAUCCUGGCUAACAGGGUGAAACCCCAUCUCUACUAAACAUACAAAAACUUAGCUGGGCGUGGUGGCACAUGCCUGUAGUCCCAGCUACUUAGGAGGCUGAGGCAGGAGAGUCACUUGAACCCAGGAGGUGGAGGUUGCAGUGUGCCGAGAUCGCGCUACUGCACUGUAGCCUGGGUGACAGGGUGAGACUCCCAUCUCAAAAAAAAAACAGCUGUAUAAAAGACUCUCUUUUUCUUUAGCAUUUAACUCUUAAGUAAAGAAGAAAUUAAAAAGUAAAGUAAAAUUGUAAAUAAGUAAUUGCACCUUUAUUUCUGUACUGUACAUCCCAUAAAGAUAGACAAUAUGAUUGACCUAAAAGUUCUAAAUAAAUAAACUUAAAUCAGAAUGUGUGGAUUAGGGAGUAAAAUGGUAGUACGAAAAAAUUGUCUUGUAUACAGUUGCUUUUUAGAUGUGUAAAAACUGUUUACUUGACACACAAUGCUUUGGAAUUAAUCACAUAUGCAAGCAUGUUGUUUGUUGGGGAAACCCCUUAUAGUCUCUACAUAUGUGAAUGAAAGAUGGGAUUUGUUUGAAUUACUCUAUAGCCUUCAUUGUUAAAAUCAGAAUUAAGUUCUUUGUUCAGUGAAGCAUUCGUAGCAAUCCUUGAGAUUUCUGAGCAGGGCUGGUUGUUGGCAGAGAGUUCUCAGUGUAUUAUGCUGUUUACCUAAGGGUUUUAUUCAAGAAGCUCUCUGAACAGCUGGGCUGAUUAUUGAAAAUGCCUCAUAGUAACUUCCAGCCUAGGCUGAUCGAUAUCGGUGCAAAGCUUUACAUGGGAGGGAGUUAUUUAAACAUUGAGAGCCCCAGGGAUAAAAGAGAAUGAAAAAAUAAUGCUGGACAAAUAUGCUGAAAUGUUCAAAAGAAGAGAGAAGUAUCUUGUCUUGGUAUAGAGGGGAAAUUCCUAAACAAACAAGCUAGAAAAUUUGUAAGCUGAUCUUAUUACACCCUAAACAUUUACUUAUUUUAACUUAUAGCAAUCCCCUAAAUAUUUAUUUAUCUUAUAACAACACCCUAAGUAUUUGGUGGCAAGAGGAAAGAUUAAUUAAAAGUACCAAAGAUCAAUUUUAUUUUUAUUUAUUUUGAAAUGUAACCUAUUACAUAAAAUUCCAUGAGACACUUUUUAGUGAUAAUAUUGGGAAAUAUUUAACUUUAUUGUCAAAUAGAUUCAGCUCUCAUAGUUUAAAUGUAGCACAAAUGUAUUUCACCCAAAUGUAAGCAGAAAAUUCCUAUUUCUUUAAUUUUUUUUUUUUUUUUUAACUACAGAGAUCUAGAAUACAGAUAUUACCAUUUCCUUCUGGCUUAGUCCUAGCAAAACAGGUUGGGCUUUUUUUUUUUUUCAUUUCUGUUUUUAAACAAUUUAAUAAAAUAAAUAAAAACUGUACUAGAAAUAGGAGAUUUUAUUUCCUAAAGGCAUUUGGUGGAAUUAUGACAUUGAAGCAAAAGUAUCAGCAUUUAAAAGCCUGUUUCUUUCUACAAAAUGGGAGAACAGAGAAAUACUCCAAAAAGGGAGGGAAAAACACUCAAUUUAUCAAAGUGGAAGCCUGUAUCAAGAAAUCCUACAUCUUGUUACAUCCAGGAUUUCUUACUUUUGCUCUGCUCAUGAGCAACAGACAGAAAGUUCAGAAACACAAAGGCAAUCAAUAUGAAAACUGUGAAAGUCUCUUAAUUAAUCAACUCACACAAACUCUCCAAGUAAGAGGAUUUUACAAACAUUUCAAUUAAAGCUUUCUCUUUUUAUUACUAAAUUUCAUUGACAAUUAAAAAUGCAUAAUGAGAGUCGACAUGAUUAUAAAAAGCAAAAUAUCAUUUAAAUACUGAGCUUUUAGACGUAUAGGAGACUGACUUUCUGAUGCUUAUUCUUUUGAUGAAUCACAUAGACAAUUACUAAUUGGAUAGUUAUUCUAUAACAGUGACAUUUUGGAAUUUUCAAAACAGGUAGCUCUUUGAACAUGUUUGUAUUUCUCUCCUCAUGUUAACAUCAUCAUUUUGGCAUACUCAGACCUAGAAGCUUCAUGACUGACUCACUAAUGAAAUUCAGCAAUCAUACAUAUGCAAAGAACUACCUAAUUCAUUGAAAUAUUUAAGAACUGACAUGGGGUGACUAGAUGUUUUAACAUUUAAGAGCUCUAGAACAGGCUGAAAACACUAACAUCCAAGUGUUUACCUAUGAAUUGAUAUUGGAAUACAAGAAACUAACUUACAUUGAAAAGGUAUAUACAGAAUAUGGAAAUUUUUAUAAAAAACAAAAGCCAGCUUAGUCUAAUAGUUUGUUUUUGCUUUUAAAAGAAAAGUUUGUUUGAAAUCUUCAUUGACUCUCAGCUGCUGGUUCCAGAAACUACACAUAUUCCCAAUAUGGCUUAUGCCAGUUUUCUGCUUUGAAGACUAAAAAAUAGACCAGAAGACAAAAUAUGAUUUCAUGAUUCUGUGCCUCCCUUGUGACAGUAGAAAAGUAAUUUAACUCCUUUGUGCAGCUUUUCUUCACCAGUAAAUUAGGAAUAAUCAUGUCUUCCACCUUCUGUUGGGGACUUUGAAGAGUAAUGAUUCAAGGGCCAUUUGGAGUUAAAAUAGAAAUAUGAAAUUAUUUUUCUUUACCCAAAGACUUAAGUUCAUGGAAUAUGAGAAUAUCUCUUAAAUCAUUUUUAUUUUUAAAUGCCCAUUUAAAAAUUCAGCAUUUUAAAUCUAUUUACUUUGUGUUUAUAUUGCAAAAAUAGAACACAGAUGCUAAAGAUGUCAUAUUAGGACAUCUUUAAUAGCAAUAUCUAUCAAUGCCAUUAAAAUAUUAUCUAUCUAUGAAGCAUAAAGUCCCACUGUUCUAAGAGUAAAACAUGGGUGUUUAAAAAAUAUGCAGAAACUACCCAAUUUAUCAGAAACAAUCGCAGUCAGUUUUUGAAUCUGACUAAAAUCUUAUUUUGCCCAUAGCUUGCCUCCUCUCCCACUCCUCCUGCUCCCACCUCUCAUGGAGGAAGAGUGGACCAGCUCACAUGGGGAUCAGGCAUUCCACAGCCUGGAGGUGGGUAAGGAGGAUCUCAACAAUCUGGGAAAAAAAACAAACAACAACAACAACAAAAAAAAACCCCACUAGCUUCUAUAGAUAAAUAUUGAUGUGGAUCAGGUUGUUGUACUUUGUAAGUAAUUUAUGUGCCUUUAUUAACUGCUGAAAUGAUAUAGACUUGUACCAUAUAAAAGGGUUCCAAUGUUGAUUCCCAAUAGAAAAAUACAGCUAAAGCAUUUUAAUAUUGGCCUAUCAUUUGGCAGCUGUUGAAUUAGGCAGUUGUUUUAUUUAAAGUGAAUCAGUAUUCUUUUGUGUAUAAGAGAGGAGUAGCCCUGAGGGUAGUCGAAUGCAAAAUACAGGGCUCAGUCCAGAAACAGAUCUUGGCGUCAUUCAUUGUCUGGGCUCCAGAAAGACGUUGAUGGAUGCUGUGGUUUAGUAUCCAAAUUACUCUAUUUAUAUCUCAGUUUCUAGCCAACAAUGGACCAUCAGGCAUAUUCAGAUUGGCUGUUUUCAUAUAACUUCAAAAGAAUACUAAAUAUUGCCCUGUUGUCUUGUGACUAUUACAGAAAAAGCAAAAGUUUUUUUUUUCUUUCAAGGUGAUCAUUCUGAGAGGGGGUGUAGUUGGGGGGCAGAUAGCAAAAGUCACGGAUUUUCUCCUGUUGGAAAAAGCCCUAUCUGAGCAGGCUUGUUGAGCUGUCAGUUGGGCACUUCAGGCUUUCUCUCUGAUCAUGCAGUUCGAAAGCCUUUGCAACUCUCCUUCCAGUCCUCCUGCAGGCCCCAGUGAUCCCACAUGUCCCACAUUACCUCCCUGCUACCCCAUCCUUCAAACACGCUAAGCUUGCUGUUGAUAAAGGAAAAAACAGAAUAGCCACUUUCCUUACUUUGCACAAUGUGGAAAGGUUGAGGACCUUUCCCCACUCGCCGCGGCUAGGAAACUGGGGGAUUUGGAGGGACUCACAGAGGCUAUAGCAAAUGACCAGGUGAUGAUGUGCAUGACAGUUUGGGCUCAAGAGGGGAGGUGACCUUAGCAAGGAAUAGAAGUGGCAGUUCUGAUAGUGUGGAGAUGAUCUCAGGCAGAAACUCCCAACAGCAGUUGGCAAGGGUCCCAGCAUCAAUUCCAAAGCCCCACUCGUAGAAGGUCACCCUUAAAAGAUCUUCUUCUCUAUUACCUUUAGUAUCCUGUCCCUUCCAAAUGUUCCUUUCCCAUUCCCUAAUUAUCCAUUUUCAGUGAGAGCACGAGAUUAGCCAAACUUGCAGUUAUGUUUUUUUAUGCUGCCCAAAGUGCUUGCUUUUACAAACCACAUUUGGCCCCAUAUCAAUCCGUUGUGUAGACCACAUCAAGUUUCCAGUCCACAGCCCAACUCCUGCACUUGCGCUUGUCUUUGAACACAAAUGGGCCGCAGAAAGAGGAACUGUUGGGCUUUGUGAGUGACCGGAAACAGGGUACCAUUGAGCAGAAAUUGAACUGAUCGCACCGUGUUAAGUCAGGAAGAUUCUCAACCCAGACCACUCUUUGAGCACCAAGUUAACAUGUAUUGCAUUUAAAAUGUAAUAAAUGCAGUAUUCAUAAACUUA